rnacentral:rRNA from 1 species
GACGAACGCUGGCGGCGUGCUUAACACAUGCGAGUCGAACGGAAAGGCCCUGCUUUUGUGGGGUGCUCGAGUGGCGAACGGGUGAGUAACACGUGAGUAACCUGCCCUUGACUUUGGGAUAACUUCAGGAAACUGGGGCUAAUACCGGAUAGGAGCUCCUGCUGCAUGGUGGGGGUUGGAAAGUUUCGGCGGUUGGGGAUGGAUUCGCGGCUUAUCAGCUUGUUGGUGGGGUAGUGGCUUACCAAGGCUUUGACGGGUAGCCGGCCUGAGAGGGUGACCGGCCACAUUGGGACUGAGAUACGGCCCAGACUCCUACGGUAGGCAGCAGUGGGGAAUAUUGCACAAUGGGCGGAAGCCUGAUGCAGCGACGCCGCGUGCGUGAUGACGGCCUUCGGGUUGUAAACCGCUUUCGCCUGUGACGAAGCGUGAGUGACGGUAAUGGGUAAAGAAGCACCGGCUAACUACGUG